rnacentral:tRNA from 1 species
CUGGGUGUGGUCCAGCUUGGUAGGACGCUGCCUUCGGGAGGCAGAGGACGGGGGUUCAAAUCCCUCCACCCAGA